ACUCCUACGGGAGGCAGCAGUGGGGAAUAUUGCACAAUGGGGAAACCCUGAUGCAGCCAUGCCGCGUGUGUGAAGAAGGCCUCGGUUGUAAAGCACUUCAGUAGGGAGGAAGGUAGUGUAGUUAACACCUGCAUUAUUUGACGUUACCUACAGAAGAAGCACCGGCUAACUCCGUGCCAGCAGCCGCGGUAAUACGGAGGGGUGCGAGCGUUAAUCGGAAUUACUGGGCGUAAAGCGCAUGCAGGCGGCCUGUUAAGUCAGAUGUGAAAGCCCGGGGGCUUAACCUCGGAAUUGCAUUUGAAACUGGCAGGCUAGAGUCUUGUAGAGGGGGUAGAAUUUCAGGUGUAGCGGUGAAAUGCGUAGAGAUCUGAAGGAAUACCAGUGGCGAAGGCGGCCCCCUGGACAAAGACUGACGCUCAGAUGCGAAAGCGUGGGGAGCAAACAGGAUUAGAUACCCUGGUAGCACAGAG
rnacentral:rRNA from 1 species